GGAUGUGAUCAUACCAGCACUAAAGCACCGGAUCCCAUCAGAACUCCGAAGUUAAGCGUGCUUGGGCGAGUGUAGUACUAGGAUGGGUGACCUCCUGGGAAGUCCUCGUGUUGCAUUCC
rnacentral:rRNA from 1 species